GCAGUCAUAAGGCCUAUGGGGUUGUAUGGAAAUGAACAGCACUACAAGAUUGAGCAAUCCCCCCCUCCUAAAAUCACACAGCAAGCCUAUCUUUACACCCAAAGGUCAAACUUCUCCGUUUUGAACUUUGAUGCCUUGUGGAGAAGACAACCUGAUUUCAUAAAGCUCUUUACAACUGCCCUGUGCACUCACUCAUUGCCAGCACAGCAGGUAUGGCAGCAGCCAAACUUUUGCAUGACUGUGGCCUCAGUGUGGUGGUUCUGGAAGCACGAGACCGUGUGGGAGGCAGGACUUACACAAUUAGGAAUAAAAAUGUUAAAUAUGUGGACCUUGGAGGAUCUUAUGUUGG
rnacentral:lncRNA from 1 species